CACCAAAUGGCAGCACAAGAUGGAGAGCUAAAGAUGAAGUCAGCAUGGUUGGCGUUCCCGCAGGAAGGUGCACGCCAAUGAAAAUUUGCAUCACCCAAUUGCAAAUUCCCAGCUGACGUUGAACAAGGGCCAGAUGUUUUGGAUAAAAUGGAUCCACAGGAAGCACUACAGGCAACCAUAAGAUUCAGGUAACAUAAU